rnacentral:rRNA from 1 species
UACGAAGGGUGCAAGCGUUACUCGGAAUUACUGGGCGUAAAGCGUGCGUAGGUGGUGGUUUGAGUCUGCUGUGAAAGCCCUGGGCUCAACCUGGGAAUUGCAGUGGAUACUGGAUCACUAGAGUGUGGUAGAGGGAUGCGGAAUUUCUGGUGUAGCAGUGAAAUGCGUAGAGAUCAGAAGGAACAUCCGUGGCGAAGGCGGCAUCCUGGGCCAACACUGACACUGAGGCACGAAAGCGUGGGGAGCAAACAGGAUUAGAUACCUGGUAGUCAAGGC